rnacentral:rRNA from 1 species
CAGGAGGAACACCGAUGGCGAAGGCAGGUCUCUGGGCCAAUACUGACACUGAGGAGCGAAAGCGUGGGGACCGAACAGGAUUAGAUACCCUGGUAGUCCACGCCGUAAACGGUGGGCGCUAGUUGUGCGAACCUUCCACGGUUUGUGCGACGCAGCUAACGCAUUAAGCGCCCCGCCUGGGGAGUACGAUCGCAAGAUUAAAACUCAAAGGAAUUGACGGGGCCCCGCACAAGCAGCGGAGCAUGCGGCUUAAUUCGACGCAACGCGAAGAACCUUACCAAGGCUUGACAUAUACAGGAAUAUGGCAGAGAUGUCAUAGCCGCAAGGUCUGUAUACAGGUGGUGCAUGGUUGUCGUCAGCUCGUGUCGUGAGAUGUUGGGUUAAGUCCCGCAACGAGCGCAACCCUCGUUCUGUGUUGCCAGCAUUUAGUUGGGGACUCACAGGAGACUGCCGGGGUUAACUCGGAGGAAGGUGGGGAUGACGUCAAAUCAUCAUGCCCCUUAUGUCUUGGGCUGCACGCAUGCUACAAUGGCUGGUACAAACGGCUGCAAUACCGCAAGGUGGAGCGAAUCCGAGAAAGCCAGUCUCAGUUCGGAUUGGGGUCUGCAACUCGACCCCAUGAAGUCGGAGUUGCUAGUAAUCGUAGAUCAGCAACGCUACGGUGAAUACGUUCCCGGGGCUUGUACACACCGCCCGUCACAUCACGAAAGUCGGUAACACCCAAAGUCAGU